rnacentral:sRNA from 1 species
CACUUUUAGGUUGGGCCAACUGAGAAUUUUGGGGACUUUCCUUGCUGUGAAUGUGGAAUUAAAUUGCUUUUUUAUUUUUUAUUUUUCGAGAUGGAGUCUCGCUCUGUCGCCAGGUACAGUGGCGUGAUCUCGGCUCACUGCAACCUCUGCCUCCUGGGUUCAAGCGAUUUGCCUGCCUCAGCCUCCUGAGUAGCUGGGACUAUAGGCAACUGCCACCACACCUGGCUAAUUUUUGUAUUUUUGGUAGAGACAGGGUUUCUCCAUGUUGGCCAGGAUGGUCUCGAUCUCCUGACCUCAUGAUCUGCCCGCCUCGGCCUCCCAAAGUGCUGGGAUUACAGGCGUGAGCCACUGCGCCUGGCUGCUUUUUAAUUUUUUUGGAAAGGUUGGGGGGGAUUUGGUCUAUGAUUAAUCCAUCUGGAGUUUGGUAACGGAUCCUGCAGUGAAUUUUGAAGAUUGCACCGGUCGACAAAGGACAGCCUAUUUUUCCCUCGACACCCGAUUCAAAGUGGGCACAGAUGGUGUGAUUACAGUCAAAAGGCCUCUACGGUUUCAUAACCCACAGAUCCAUUUCUUGGUCUACGCCUGGGACUCCACCUACAGAAAGUUUUCCACCAAAGUCACGCUGAAUACAGUGGGGCACCACCACCGCCCCCCGCCCCAUCAGGCCUCUGUUUCUGGAAUCCAAGCAGAAUUGCUCACAUUUCCCAACUCCUCUCCUGGCCUCAGAAGACAGAAGAGAGACUGGGUUAUUCCUCCCAUCAGCUGCCCAGAAAAUGAAAAAGGCCCAUUUCCUAAAAACCUGGUUCAGAUCAAAUCCAACAAAGACAAAGAAGGCAAGGUUUUCUACAGCAUCACUGGCCAAGGAGCUGACACACCCCCUGUUGGUGUCUUUAUUAUUGAAAGAGAAACAGGAUGGCUGAAGGUGACAGAGCCUCUGGAUAGAGAACGCAUUGCCACAUACACU